rnacentral:ribozyme from 14 species
CUAAAUAGAAAAGAAAAAAAAGUACAAAAGCCGUAGUUUUUGUAUAUUGUCUUUCAUCACUACACCUUUUUCUGCAGCGCCAUUCAAUUACCAUUUUGAGAGUU